ACUUUAAUAGCUUAUUAAGAGCGUGAUAUUGAAGAUAUCAAGGAGGCCUUUGCCUUAUAGUA
rnacentral:tRNA from 1 species